CGAAGGCUUUUUGGACGCGCUGCUCGCCCUCGUCCGUGACAUUCCGACGCGGCUGUGACGGGGCCGGGGUGCGCACCGCAGGCCUGGGUGGCCGCGUCCGGGGCGGGGGGCUGUGCCCUCGACGGGAGGGCCGCGGGGCUGGGGGCGGGGCGGGGGCGGGGCGGGGGCGGGGCGGGGCGGGGCUGGGGCUGGGGGCGUGGUUGGCGGGGGCGGGACGGGGGGCGUGGCUGGGCGGGGCGUGGCUGGGGGCGGGGCGGGGCGGUGGCCCGGCGCGCAGCAGGUGUCCCGCGGCCCCGACGACAGUCCUUGUCCGUGCCGGUGUCUACCCUCUGACGUCUGCGAGCGCCGUCCGUGUCCUCAGUUCUUGCCAAAAAUACAGCCACGGGGCCCUGACACUUCUGCCGAAACACUUGAAGGGUCUGGGAACCCGGGUUUACGCACGGGGUCCGGGGGGCUUGGCCCCGCCCCCGCCCAGCCCCGCCCCCGCCCGCCCCUCCGUCCCGCCCUCGGCCCCGCCCCCGCCCCCGCCCAGCCCCGCCCCCGCCCGCCCGUCGCCCCGCCCCUCCGUCCCGCCCCGCCCCGCCCGCCCGCCCGUCGCCCCGCCCCCGCCCGGUGCCCGCCCCCUCUGCUCCGCGGGCCGCAGGGUGGAGGCUGGCGGUGGAGCGACCUCGCCCGGUCGCGGGGUUCCGCGGAGGCUGGGUCCCCGGCCUGGAGCGGGGAGUCGGUGGGAGGAGCGGGGCUCCCGCGGGCGAGCUGGGCCGGGGCUCCGCGUGCCGCUCGGCUGACGGGUUCGGAGGGAGCUGGCCUGCAGAUUCUCCCCCAACCGGAGGAGGACAGCUCUGACCGGCCUCUUCGCGUUAGCUUGUUCUUAAACACACCUGUGAGACUCACUUGGGGUUUCCUGUUCAAAACCAGAUUCUGGGGAUCCCUGCGGGGCUCAGUGGUGGAGCACCUGCCUUCGGCCCACGGCGUGACCCCGGGGUCCCAGGAUGGAGUCCCGCGUCCGGCUCCCUGCGUGGAGCCUGCUUCUCCCUCUGCCCGUGUCUCUGCCUCUCUCUGUGUGUGUCUCUCGUGAAUAAAUAAAUAAAAAUCUUAAACAAGCAAACCCAAAACAGAUUCUGGAGCCUUACCUCAAAUCCAUUAAAGUGUCACCUACAGGAGAGUAACACGUGACUGUUAUUUUGCCUGCUCCAGGGACUCUCACAGUAGGGAGGUUGGAGGAUGCUAGAGCUGUAAGAACAGGUGCUGCUUGGGGGGACCAGGUGACUAACCGGAGGGAGCCUUCUGGGUGAGGGAGUUCCGCAGUGGAAGAGCUUCACUGGGUUAAGCUUGUGUGUCGCUUUCCUGCCAGACACGCGGCUCCUGGUGUGGCGGC
rnacentral:lncRNA from 1 species